AAGUAAGUGCCUGAGCGUUAAAAGGGAUGGCUUGUAGAUCCAUUGAUUAUUCUUCAUCAGUUAAAAUCUGAUCUUACUUA
rfam:Theileria orientalis strain Shintoku apicoplast DNA, partial genome.